rnacentral:lncRNA from 1 species
UCUUUCCAGACUAGGCCGAGCUCUAGGCGCCAUCAUGGGAGUCGACAUAGGCCACAACAAGGACCGAAAGGUUCAACGCAAGCAGCCCAAGAGCCAGGAAGUCUACCUAAGGCUGUUGGUCAAGUUGUACAGGUUUCUGGCUAGAGGAACCAAUUCUACUUUCAACCAAGUGGUACUGAAGAGGUUGUUCAUGAGUCGCACCAAUAGGCCACCUCUCUCCCUCUCCCGGAAGGAUGAUCCCGAAGAUGAAGCUUCCUGGCCGAGAAAACAAAACCUCUGUGGUCGUGGGGACCAUAACAGAUGACGUUGGUUUCAGGAGGUGCCUAAACUGAAGGUGUGCUCACCGAGCGUGAGCAGCCGAGCCGCAGCCGCAUCCUCAAGGUUGGGGGCAAGAUCCUCACCUUUGACCAACUGCCCCUGGACUCCCCCAAGAACCGUGGCACUGUCCUCUUCUCUGGUCCUCGCAAGGGCCGAGAGUGUACCGUGUUCUGGCAUUUUGGCAAGGCUCCUGGGAUCCCACAGAGCCACACCAAACCCUGUGUCCGCUCCAAGGGCAGGAAAUUCGAGCGCGCCAGAGGCCGAGGGCCAGCCGUGGGUACAAAAACUAACCCCGGAUUUACUGUUAAUAAAGAGGCUUUGAAUUUGGAAAAAAAAAAAAAAUUGAAACCAAAGGAG